AAUGGAAGCCCAGGUCUGUCACGCACCGCCUGUGCUUGCCCAGAGCAGGUCCCAGUCACCCCCUCUGGCACCGCCUGCUGCACACCAGGAACCCCCACCUCCAGCAAGCCCAUCUGCCAGACGCCUGGCCCAGGACCGCCCCCUGCCCCUCGACUGCCCCCUGCCCCUCCUGGUCCUGACUUCAGCCAGGUGACCCCCUCCAGGGUCCAGCCCUGGCCCCUGGGGGACUCAGUGGCAUCUGGUGGAAAGGACCUUGGGGAUUGCGCCCACCCUCACCUGCAGGAGAGUUGGCAGGGUGGCCAGCCACAGGAAUCUGUGGCAGGAGCCCGGGGACCUGCACCCCAACUAGAAAGUGUGCAGCCCUGCAGGCCGGCCCUGGAGAGGGAGCAGGCAGGGGUGAAGUUAGGCCGGCUGUGGUGUGCGACACCGUCCUGUGGGGCCAAGCGUCCCGAGCUCCAGAGGCAGGUGCACUCCUGGCCAGCAUCCAGGGUGGACGAGCCCAGACCCCAAUACUCUGAGGCAGGGUGGGGGACCAGGUGGCACCCAGUGGAGGAAAAGCCCCCAAGAGACACGCAGGAGCAUGGACUCCCACCCCACAGCUGGAGCCUGGGAGAGGAGCCCCAUCUGCUGUUUCCCUGGUGCACUCACAUCCUGGCCCUCAGCGCCCCCUGCCAGGAAUGUCCCCCACAUGCAGAGCCAUGUGGGUCUUGCAAGGAAGAAGAAGGGGGCCCCUUGCAUCCUCCACUCCCGGGGGCCCCAGGAGGGCAUGGGGGCUCCAGGGUGCAGGGACAGCACGUUCCCUCACCAACUCCCCAAGAACGCCCAACCUCCAAGAGCAGACACAGCGCCUACACCUGCCGGUACGGGGCUCCAACCCCACUCUCUCAGAUACGUCCUCCAGAGUCGUCUCAUCCACCCCACCCUGGGGAGGAGGGAAACUGAGGCAUGGCAAGAGACAAGACUAACACAGGCAUCACGUGGGCUCUCCCGGCACCAGCACCGCCAGGCCCUGUGCAGGACCCCAGGGUCAUCAGGAAGGAAAUGAGGCAGCCCAAGGAGGCGGGAGACGGGGCCCUACCCAGCACCCAGCCAUCUGCAUUGACACGGCUGCCCGCAGGAUAUCACUGCCCCCAUCCCGGGGCCCACCAUUACCAGCAGGGAGAGGGAGGCAGGUUCAGCAGGGACAGAGCUCAGGGGGAAGGCACCUCCCGUCCUGGUUCAAUACAUGGACCCCUGACCCUGGGAAAGGGACUGAGCCAGGGGAGGCCUCAGGUCACUGCACCAUGAAGUUGUGGGGAGCUGCGGGGGCCUCUGGGCUCCGAGCUGGGCAGGCACAGCGUGGGGACCACGUGCCGAGGGGAAGAAGCGUGCCAGGGUGGACGUCUCAGUGCACACGCAGGAACAUGCAACGGCUGAGCCAGCCCAGAGAGGCAGCGGAGCGUGUGCGGGGCGGCCGGCGGAGGAGCAGCAGGAUCCCAGGCGGGAGCGCACGGCCUUUUCGGAGGCAGGUUCCAGGACAAUACUAAGCGUUUACAUCAUUGCACUAUUUGAUCCAGGAGGUCCCACUGUGGCGUUUCAUCGAUAAACGCACAUGCGAGGUGGAGGGUGGCUGGUGUGGAAUGUGCCCGGCAGCCUUCAUAGCAAAGGAGAAUUCUAGAACCAACCGAAGUGCCCCUCUGAAGGGAGCUGGUCCCGUCCGUUCCAGCCGCCGUGGAGUAACACAGCCAGCAGUUUCCCUCCUGCCACGAAAGCUCGAGACUGAAACUCAGGAUGAACUGUUUUCAGCCCGGGUCACCCCAGCCCUGGGGUGGAGGCCCAUUGAGGAUGGCCGAGCAGGGGCGGGCAUCCAGGCAGGUCCAGCAGUCCUGGCGGGCUGAGGAGAAGGAGGUCAGUGCUCAGGGAGACAUCCGCAGAGGGACCUGGCAGGCAGAGCUCCAGAAGGGAGGGAACUGCACAGACAGAAAGCUCCAGAAGGCUGCCUGAGGGCCUCUGAGGCCUCCGGAGUCAGGCGCCAUGGAUGUGGAAGGUGGACUCUUCAGCAUGGAUGGGACCCUAGGGGGCUGUGGACCCCCGGCCCCUGGGACUCACAGGUGGGAGACAGGAGUUCCAACCGCCAGGGGGAGAGUCCUGGAGGAUCCUGGGCUGUUGGCAGCCACCCAGCAGGGCCCGUCCUGGGAGUGGGGCUGGACUCUUCCUGCAGGAAAGGCUGGGCUGGACCUGCUCUGAGAGGCUUCAGAACCAGCCACACGAAGACCAAAGUGAAGAGCAAGGAGCUGAACUCCACGCAGAACACAGCGCAGCGUCCUUUAAAGGAAGGCCAAAAACAACCCAACAAAAAUGCCAGGUGAUCAAAGCGGUCACAGCACAAUGUCCACAUCCAACGAGAAAUUGCUACUACGUCCAGACGCAGGGAAAGGUGGCCGUGGGAACGUGAGUCAGCAGCAACAGGCCCAGAAGGGCAGCCACGGUGGACUUGUCAGACGUGGACCCUGAAAUGACAAUCACAGCAUGAUUUCAGGCAGGAGCCUGAAAUGGUACAGCUUUGGACAUCGGUUUGGCAAAUUCUUUUAGAGAGAAACACACACCUUCCCUAGGACCCAGCAACUCCACUCCUAAUAACCAAGUGAAAUGGAAGGAGUUGUCCUCAGCAAAACGUGUGUGCGGAAGUUCACAGUCACUUUCUCGGUGAUAACCAAGAGCUGGAAACCACUGCAACACCCACCAGCAGGUGAACGGAUUAACACACUGGGCUAGGGCCACACAAUGAGAUGCUCCGUGGCAACACAAAAUGAACCGUGGACACACACUGCACGGCGGAUGAAUAUGCAGACAUCAGGCCACGUGAAGGGAGCCAGGCCCCGAGGCGCCACGCUUUGUGAUUCAGGAAAGAAAGCACGCAGCCAAAGAGCGCAAAGAGGCUCAGAGGAGGCCCGGGUGCCCUGGAGAGACGCUGCGUCCUGACGACACAGCAUCCCUGUCCCGCAGCGGAGAUUUCCCAGAUGAAGGAUUCCCCGGCGGGAGACAGGGCCCUGCACACAGGUCCUCUGCCACGCUGCUCACCAUGCCUGUGUGUUAUCUCCCCAUGAAAAGUCACCUAGGCCGAGCAUGGUGGCUCACGCCUGUAAUCCCAGCACUUUGGGAGGUGGAGGCGUGCGGAUCAUCUGAGAUCAGGAGUUUGAGACCAUCCUGAGUAACAUGGUGAAACCCCGUCUCUAGGAAGAAUACAAAAAUUAACUGGG
rnacentral:lncRNA from 1 species